rnacentral:misc_RNA from 1 species
UCUCUUCGGAGGCGCAGGUUCA